UGCAGAAAGAUCUGCCUGAUUAUAGUACGAGGGGACGAUGCUGAGACAAGCUUUUGCUCAGUGAGGAGAGAAAACCUUCGUGAAGGCAGAGAUGGAGAGACAAGAGUGGAAGAGCUGCAGCCAGAGCCAUGGCAGGAAUGACGAGCUGCCUGCAACCAGCAGCUGAGGCACCCGGAGACCCGGGGCUCUGACGGGCUUCCUGCGCUCUGAGCCGCACCGCGCCGACGCCUGCCUGCGCUGAGCCACCGGAGAGGCAGCUGUGAUACCUGAUGACAAUCAUCUCUGAUUAGAGCGCCCCGCUGCACAGCCCGGGAGAGCUGGGCCACAGCUAAUUAGCAUGUGAGGCCAGCGUGCUGUUUAUUGGAACUGUGCUAACAAGUUGUAGCUUUUUCCGUCACAGGAGGGUCGUCAACCGGGACCCCUUCGCUCCAGCAGUUCAGGUACAAGGCGGAUACUUCUUACGCACCAUCGCCAGGACACAUGGACGCAUUGGCGCCGGGAGCCACUCUGAGUCUGUGUUCCCACCUCUGUAAACUGUCACUUCUAGACCUGGUCGUGAAAUCUGGUGCUAUUCUAAGUGGUCUUACACUUUUAAAUUGAGUAUCUUAAAAACAAACAAACAAGCAAGCAGACAAACAAACAAAAACAACUCUUGGCCUAUCAGCCUCCUACCCAGACCUUCCAAUAACUCCUACAGGGGAAACUUCAUUAACGAUGAGGGAAGCACAACGUCUUGUCGAGGGCUGAUGGCUCUGUGUAAGCUGGCAUCCCCCCUCCCCUGGCACCAGUGUGCCACCACCCAGCCUCACCUGAAAAUAAACACGUCAGUCUCUUCAGGGGUCUCUGUUGCCAGAAGAGAAAUCCUGCAUUUUCCCUCCAACCCAAACAGUUGUGGGCUGGGCACUAACCACUCAAUAAAAUUUCAAUAAAAUGAAUCUCACAGAUUUUUAUUUUUGUUACAGAAAAUUAAACAAAAUAAGAGAACAUGAUAAUCCCACAUGUACUCAUCAUCUGCCUAUAACAAAUACCACGCUGGUGGCCAGUCUAGAGUCAUUUGUGUCUGCUGCACAGAUGUGAAGUUGGAAGCAGACCCUUAGCAUCAUUCAGGCCAUCACACCUGUAAACAUUCCAGGCCUGGCUCCAAACCUCAGUGCAUUGGCUGGUUUUGUUGUUGUUUGUUUGUCUGUUUUGAGCUCAAGGAAAGAUUUUUGAGCUCCA